AUUGACCGCUGGCGGCAGGCUUAACACAUGCAAGUCGAGCGAGCGGCGGACGGGUGAGUAAUGUCUGGGAAACUGCCUGAUGGCGGGGGAUAACUACUGGAAAAGGUAGCUAAUCCCGCAUACCAUCAGAUGUGCACAGAUGGGAUUAGCUAGUAGGUGGGGUAAUUGCUCACCUAGGCUCCGAUCCAUAGCGGGUCUGAGAGGAUGACCAGCCACACGUGAACGGAGACACGGUCCAGACUCCUACGGGAGGCACCAGGGGGGAAUAUUGCACAAGGGGCGCAAGCCGUAUGCAGCCAUGCCGCGGGUGUGAAGAAGGCCUUCGGGUUGUAAAGCACUUUCAGCGAGGAGGCGUUACUCGCAGAAGAAGCACCGGCUAACUCCGUGCCAGCAGCCGCGGUAAUAC
rnacentral:rRNA from 1 species